AAAACAUGUCUCUUUGAGUUUUUUUAAUAAAGAGUUGGGCCUGCUCGGUGAUUAAUAUUUAACAGCUGCGGUAUUAUAACUGUACUAAGGUAGCAUAAUAAUUUGCCUUAUAAAUUAGGGCUAGAAUGAAUGGUUUGACGAAAAUUAUACUGUCUCUAUUUUAUUCAUUAGAAGUUAAUUUUUAUAGUGAGAAAGCUUGAAUGAUUUAAAGGGACGAAAAGACCCUAUUGAGCUUUAUAUUAUAUUUUAAAUUUUAUUUUUUAUUUGUAUAUAAUUUUGGUUGGGGUGAUCAAGGAAUAAAUUAUAUUUUAUGUUAACUUCCUUAAAUGGUGAUAUAUAUAAAUAAAUAAACCAAAUUUUUUGCUUAUAAGAUAAGUUACCAUAGGGAUAACAGCGUAAUUUUUUUUGAAAGUUCAUAUUGAAAAAAGAGAUUGCGACCUCGAUGUUGGAUUAAAAUAACCUUAAGGUGAAGAGGCUUUAAUUGGUAAAUCUGUUCGAUUUUUAAAAUUUUACGUGAUC
rnacentral:rRNA from 1 species